UAGGGAAUAUUGCACAAUGGGGGAAACCCUGAUGCAGCAACGCCGCGUGAGUGAUGAAGGCCUUCGGGUCGUAAAGCUCUGUUGUAAGGGAAGAAUGUGCUUUUGGCUAACAUCCAAAGGCAGUGACUGUACUUUAUAAGAAAGCACCGGCUAACUUCGUGCCAGCAGCCGCGGUAAGACGGGGGGUGCAAGCGUUGUUCGGAAUCAUUGGGCGUAAAGGGCGUGCAGGUGGCUCUAUAAGUCAGAUGUGAAAGCCCAGGGCUUAACCCUGGAAGUGCAUUUGAAACUGUAGGGCUUGAGUAUGGAAGAGGGUCGUGGAAUUCCUGGUGUAGUGGUGAAAUACGUAGAUAUCAGGAGGAACACCGGUGGCGAAGGCGGCGACCUGGUCCAAUACUGACACUCAUACGCGAAAGCGUGGGGAUCAAACAGG
rnacentral:rRNA from 1 species